ACAUGUGGAGUUCUCUAAACUGGUUCAGACAGCUGGACCCCAUUUUGUGUUUGUUUUUUCAAACAGAUUCUUCGUGCUCUAAACCAAAUCCAGCUGCCACUCCAGUCACUUUCCAGGCAAGACAGGGCUACCUUCAGCAUCUCUAGUGAAAGUGGUGAAUUAGCACUUCAGAAGUGAGAUGGCAUGGACAGAAGCUUCUGGGGCUGAGCUCACCAUUGGAAGCUUCUUUCCAGCUUCCUGAAGGUCUCUGGAGGUCUCUUCUUACCGGGGAGGAUGAUCCCUGGUGGCUCCCUGCUGACAUUCUUCAAAACUCGGCUAUUUCCCCAGUGUCCUGCUGAUAAAACAGAAGAGGAAAUGAUGAAAGUGUUUGCAGUGGCCUGUAGUGAAGUGGCUCUUUCUGCCCUUGCUGUGCGUCUCACUCCAGGACCUCCUGAAGAGCGCUGAUCCUGCACUAUACAUGUGGUUCUUCUCCUAUGCCUCCCGACUUGUCAGAGAAUUUCUUGAGGACAUGGAUGACUGUCUGGCAGCGACAGUUCCAGGCCAGGGACAUCCCUGUGUGGUUUCUGAGAAGGAUGAGGAGUUCAAGAAGUGAAGGCUCUGUCAUACAUAAAGAGAAAACAAUUUCACUGUGCAAUCCAGGAGAGACAAAGCAGUGUAGCAUGUGGCUUCAGGAUUCUGGCCAGCAGAGGAUGCCAGUGUCUCUACAUCGUGACAACUUUGAAUGUGACCAUUGUAUCACCUACUAAGUCCGGCAGAACUAGAAAUUAUGGCUGAAGUUCCAGAAAGUUCCAGAAAGCACAUUUGGCCUUAUAAUAGAUAAUUACUAACUGCAAGAGCUGUGCAUUUACUAAAUGAUAUGCUCUGCCAAGGAGCGAGUUCCCCAUCACAGAGAGCAGCAGAAGCCAUCAUCAGGAAUGCUGCGUGUGGAUUUCUGAGUUGAGUAUGCGGUUAAAACACAAGACGCUAGGUUUAGUCCAAUCUUAAAAUUCUACGAUUUUAAUCUUUUAAAAAUAGUGUUUGCAUAGUAUUUUUAAGUUUUUGAUGAACCUCACAUACAUGAUCUCAUUGAUUCUUUUUUAAAAAAUGGAGGUCACUUUUUCUUGGCUUAAACAAAUGAAAAUAAAUAUAAACAAUAUAGACUUCUGAAGAAGGAUGGCAGAAUAAAGGCAAAAUAAAGACUCUCCUCCUCCAACAUCUAAAAUAUGAAUAAAAAUAAUAAAAAUCAGCAAAAAAAAAAAAACCCACAAAAAAACAGCAACAGCAAGAACACAAAGAAAUGGGAGCAACCUAACGUCAUAGACUUCAAAAAGGGGAGGACAAAGGAAGGAAGGAGAGAUUUUAGAAAAGUAGUUUCUCUGUGCUCACUUUGGAAGACUUGGAUUACCAAAAUAUUGAAAAAUUGAAUCAAAAGCUAUUAAUCUGAAAAGAAACAAAUUAGCAGGGCAUAUUGUUUUCCUUGAAUGCUUUAGGUUAUAGAACAGGUUAAUAACAAUAUGAAUUCAACAUAGUGGGUCCCAAAGAGGAAAUGAUGAAACAAGAGAAUGAUCUGGAAAAGUGAUUUUCUACUGUCCUAUAGAAACAAAUUAAAGACCAAAACAAUAUUAUUUUUUUUUAAUGAUACUUUAGUUCUAGGGUACAUGUGCACAAUGUGCAGGUUUGAUACAUAGGUAUACAUGUGCCACGUUGGUUUGCUGCACUCAUCAACUCGUCAUUUACAUUAGGUAUUUCUCCUAAUGUUAUCCCUUCCCCCGUCGCCCAACCCCACGACAGGCCCGGGUGUGUGAUGUUCCCCGCCCUGUGUCCAAGUGUUUUCAUUCAAAACGACAUUAUUAUAGAACUGAUAAAUAGAUAAAAAUCAUCAUUUCCAUCUCUCUGCCAGGCAACCUAAGUACUUCAGGGGACUGUGAACCCAGCUCCAGGGCCAGGGUGGAAUGAUUGGGCUAAGGAUAAUUCCUUAUCCCAGGGAACUCAGGUCAAAACCAACCAGGGUGUGGCAUAUUCCUGCAGUAGAAUCUGGAAUGGGCUUGUGACCCAGCUCAGGCCAGUGAAACAUGAAGGAAGGCUUGGCGGAGAAUUCUGAAGAAGGAGCUUCUCAGCUUUUAAGAGAAGCUCACCAUAGGAAACUCCCUCUCUCCCUCUGGACUUGUUGGUUUAAAGACGCAAAACCUGGAGCUGCUACAGACAUUUUUCACCACUGCAAGUGAAGACUUCUGCCCCAUAGACAGCGACUGGAAGCUGGAUCAGGCCAACCCUGAAGAUCACUCUGUCUCUGGAUGUCGGUUACACAAAUCAAUACAUUUCCAUGUGUUAAAGCAAUUCGACUUGGAUUUUACAUAUAUUUUUGAAACUGAAAACAUUGUAAUCUAUAUAUCUACUUAGAAAGAUGUGAAAUAUCCACCUAAUAAUAAUCAUUUGGGGUUACUAAUAAAAAUUAUUUUUACUUUUCUUCAUUGCUUACUUUAUAAUGAGCUGUUUCAUUUUUUAAAACACAAAAAGUUAUUAUUCUUGCAUAUUAAAUUGUUAAACAUAAAAGUAAUAUGUACUCAUUGGAAAAAAAUCCAGACACCUUCUCUUCCAGGUGACCUAAAUAGAAUUAGGGAGAGAGAAAAAUAAUGAUCUCUGAUCAGAAAAUAUAAUAAAAAUGAUUUUAGAAAGAGUCAACAUAUUUACUCUGCUUAGAAGUUUACACAUAUAAUCUCAUUUAAUUUUCACAACAUAUUAUGCAGUAGGAAGCAUCAUUAGCUCCAUUUUAUAGACAAAAAAAAUCUCUUGCAUUCUGCAAUUGUCUAAAAUUACUUUGAAAAGAGACAGUUUUUAAUAGCAUAGUUAAAGAUAAAAGAUUUAUAACAUACACAUGAUAGAGAAAAUUAAUAUAGUCAUGCAUUACUUCAUGAUGGAAAUAUGUUCUGAGAAAUGUGUUGUUAUAUGAUUUUGUUGCUGUGUAAACAUCACAGAGUGAACCCACACAUCCUCGAAGGUAUAGCCUAAUGCUCUUAGGUUACAAAGCUGUACAGCAUGUAACUCUACUGAAUACUGUGGUCAUUAUAACAAAUUGGUAUCUGUGUAUCUAAACAUUAAAAAGGUACACUACAAAG
rnacentral:lncRNA from 1 species